CAUUCCAAUACUCAAACAAAAAGGCAGUGGCAUUUCCGUAAUAAAUGAAUCAGACAAUGCUUGCGUUACUCAUCACUUUUCACCGUCAUCAUUCAUCCUUCUUCUUCUUCUUCAACCACCACCAACUUCCUCCGGUUAUCCUUCUGCCUAUAAAUUUACCCACGCCGGUCAAUUACAGUGCCUUGCCUUUUCUUUUCCUUCUCUGAAAGGAAAAGAAGAAGAAUUGUUUGGUUACUGAGAGUAUAUGUUUUUUUUUUUUUUUUUUUUGCUCAUGGGUUUUUCUUUUCUUCUUUAAGUUUUUUUUUUUUUUUUAAACAAAAGUUCUUUCCUUUUUGAGAAAAUUAUACAUCUUUAAAGCACAAUGAUGAUUCUGAGUAUCAAUUUGAGUGGAGGAGGACAUGGGUGUGCUUCUUUUCCAUCCUCUGCUACUUCAACUUUUAAACCCAGGAAGAAAAUACAAGUGAUAAGAGUAGAAAAGGCAACAAAUUCAGUCUCAGAUUCUAAAACAAAGAAAGCAAAUCUUUCAGCUGCAAGGAAAGAAAGGAUUAAGCUGCCAAAUUAUGGAGAUGGGUUUGGGGAUAAGACAUUUCAUAUUAGAGAAUUUCUAAGCCAACCAUCUGGCAUCGAGGCCAUGUUAAAUACUAGUGCCUUGAAAAGUUUCCAAUCCAUUGAUGCUAACAAUUACAGGAAAUGUGAAGAAUGCUUUCCAUGGAUACCAACACUUACAGAUCCUCGUACUUUCCUACUUCUUUGUUGGAUUUCCAUGUGCACUCUGCAAAAAGUUCAAUUUUUAAACUUUGAAGCAGCCCCAGUGCUGGACUUACGAGUAACCCAAACAAUAGAAAAUUGUACUGUUGAGAUGCUUUCUUGUAAGUUUGAGGGUUCAGAAAUCUUGGAACAACAAAACAACCAUUUCUCAGCAUUCAUGGUAAAUCACAUGACAUGGGACAGAGAUGAUUUGGAAUCAUAUUUGGAGGUUGACGUAAAACUGAAUCUGACAUUAGAGAUCUACACACGCCCUUUUACCAUGAUGCCGGCAUCAGCAGUUGAGCGUCCCGGAAAUUUAAUGAUGCAAGCUUUGGUGGAUAGGCUAGUACCAUUGCUUAUGCAACAAUUACUGCAAGAUUAUGGCAAAUGGGUUCACCAGCAGUUAGAUCAUUUGGCAUGAUGGUUCUUCAUUUAUACAGUGGAACACCCCCAACCCCUUACCUCUCUAGAAGAAAGAAGAUAUGUUAUUAUAUGUUAAGAAAGAAGAUCAUUUACCUUACAUUUGGACAGAAAUUAACCAUUCUGAAAUUUUAGCUGGUUUCAAUUUAUGGUGCCAACGGAUUGGAGGGUGACUCUGAAUUUAUGCACCAUUGUGAACCUCCCAAGUGUAAUUUACUGAAUGACUUCCAUGCCCAAAUUUCUUGAUUGCCAUGGAGUUUUUGCAUUCUUGAAGCCACUGAUUCUUACCGGUUUAUGUUUUGGCAUUGUAUGGUUUAGCAUUCUUUUAUCAUAAUUUUUUGGUUCAUAGAUUGUCUUUAAAUAUUAAACCAUUGAUUGUAACAUGCAGUCAAGUUGGCAUCCUUUUAGGUUCUUGAACAAAGCUUCUUGUCUGUAUUAUUGUAAUUAAACCUCCCAUUAUAUUUACUUCAAAAAAGACGAACUUUAUUUAUUAUUAUUAUUAUUAUUAUUUUUC